GCCAGUUUUGAUGCAGCUAAAUUCAUCAGUGGUAAUCAGAUGAAAUUAAACUUUUCUACAGACAAUGUAGCUGGAGUGUAUGUAAGAGUUCAUCCAUUAACCAUAUGAUGCAGGCCACCACAUCCCGCCUGAGCAUGCCGGCAAAUGCAGCGGUUUCAUUGGACAGGGCUGCGUUAAAAGGGGCGUGAAGUUUGCUACUGCUAGCUGCUAAUUUAGCUCCUGUGUGAUCAUCUGAGAUCUGCUUGAUCCCUGACGGCACACUACAGAGCCGAAAAACAAAAUUAUAAAGCCAGUUACAUGUGCAGAAGCCACCGAUCAAUUGGCUUCUCUGAGUCGGAGAAACUAUCAGGCUGAGCGACGGAAACAUUUUGUUAGUGAGAUGUUGAUAAAGGCCUGUGGACAUGGCAUUGUGUGUAUCGGCGUCAAUGCUAACGUAGCUAGUUAGCUUAGCAUGCUAGUUAUCUGGGCUUAAAGCUGUUGCUGAAACAUUUGAGGCGCGUAGCCCAACACUGGUUCGUAUUAGUGAGAAGGAACGGAAAACUCUUUUUAUGAUAAGUGUAUUACAGCAACGUUGUUAAAUGAAAGUCAUAUAAGUUAGAGGCGAACAUUUGUUGCACUCAAGUAAGCUGCUGUACUGUUUGGCUAAUGAUAGCUAAUUUAACGCGCUAACAUUCAGUGCUAGGUUAGCAUAGCAGCGUUUCAGUCGUCGACCGCCCUGCACCAGCAGAGCAACGGGUCGGCAGCUAGCAGUUACUGGGCAUUGUGCGGUAUGUAGCCAUGGCAUGCUAACUAUCCAUCAGGAAAGUUGGUGACUAGCCAUAACGUUUCAGCCAGCCUUAUCACAGGCCAGUUUUGACUGACUAUAUAGUCGUGAUUUGAAGGAUUAUUGAGAUACAGUUGUUAGGAUAAUUAGCCAGGGUUAAUUUGCAUUAUACGGAGUUAUUGAAUCUACAGGGCCUUGCACAUUACAGUGGUGUAACUAAAUAUUUACUUAAGUUUGGCUCGUCAGCUAAUGUCUUAAAGACGAUGUUUCCUAAAAACACGUAAAGGCAAAACAAAGUUUGGAAAGCAACCAUGUAACGCCACUGAGCUGGUUAGCCAUUUUAAGUUCAUGAAUUGGUGGCGGGCAACGUUAGCUAGCAAAAUGAACAAUUCAGGAGUCCUGGCACAAGAGAAGAUGGAGCUGGAUCUGGAAAUCCCAUCGUCGUUAGCUCAGACCGAGGGACACUUGAGACGAUCCAACAGUGCACCCAUGAUAAAUGUCUUAAGUGAUAACUCCCAAGUGUUCCAGAGAGAAGUCCUGCGCAGCCGGAGAAAUAGCACUACAGUAGUCAACAGGCCCAACAUGGUCCCUUCAUCGCCUAUUCGCGUCCCCAGCACCAGACUUCACCAGAUAAAACAGGAGGAAGGCGUAGAUGUGAUGAACAGAGAAACGGCUCAUGAGCGUGAGGUUCAAGCUGCCAUGCAGAUCAGCCAGUCCUGGGAAGAAAGCCUCAGUCUGAGUGAUAACGAUUUGGAGAAGUCAGCGUCUUCGUCUCCAAAGCGCGUCGACUUUGUCCCUGUGUCCCCCGCUCCAUCCCCGACCAGAGGGAUAGGAAAGAAGCAGUGUUUCUCUCCUUCACUACAAAUCCUUGUGAGCAGCAAUGGCCUAACGCCCAGUCCCGUACCCAGCCCGACGCGACGCUUCAGCCGACGGAGUCAAAGCCCGAUCAACUGCAUCAGAGCCAGCAUACUUGGACCAAUGAAACGCAAAGGUGAGAUGGAAACGGAGAGUCAGCCUAAGAGGCUCUUCCAGGGCACCACCACCAUGCUGUCCUCCGAUGUCUCCAACCUGUCCGAGCUCAGCCCCUGGUAAGACUGGAUCUCCAACAAGCGUCGUAGAAAGGCGUUUUUAAAAGCUUAUUGUUGUAAUGUAAAAAACACAACGGUGGAGAAAGUGUCUUUUAUGUUCUUUAUCUACAUACUGUGGUUCCUCAUGGUUGAGCAAUACACUUCAAUUAUUCACAUAUUUACUGGGCAAAAGUUUUAGUAUGUAUUUCCUUUUACUUUGAAUAACAGUCCUCCUGGCAUUUAUGAUGUGCUUGGACAAAACCUAUCACCAAAUUGGCUUUUUAAUAAUAUUAUUAUUGACUUUAAAUGAUUGGACUUUGACUACAGCAUGUUUUAAAUUAGAUUGAUGUAUAUUUAUUGUAAAAAAAUAAAUGAAUCUACACUAAAGGAAUCAAAUGUAAGAUUUCCGUUCGCUCUCCUAAAGUAUACUUUAACUGAGGGUCACUUUGUCGGCUUUCACUCACAAAAAAGUUGUUGGUAAAAAAAAUAAUUCACUGAUAAAUGUGGAUUAAAUGGAAGCAAGCAGCUGGUGAGAAACCGUGUUUGUUUUUCUGGAGAGUUCAGAAAAGUGCUAAAUCUGCAUGUAUGAUCAAGCACAACAAGCUGCUAGGAUUCUUUUAUGGAUUGAGAAAGCCUGGCGAUGAUUGCACAGAUUCGCCUUCCAUCCCCGUGCCGACUGCAGGCAUUGAAAGAUAAUUUCUCAGCUGAAUUUGUGACUUGAAGAACAGAACACCCAGCUUAAACCAGGGGUCAAAUAAAGCUCUUGUUUAAAAUGAGUGACUGUGUAGCCUGUGAAUUUGCUCCUUGCACAAACACUUCCGCGUUCUACUUAAUACUGCUCGAUUGUUUCCGGUUAAACAAUGGCGACAUUCUACACUCGAUGUUUACAAGAGCUCCUGGCUUUGUAGGACGACCAAAGCCCCAACAAGCAAGUUGGAUAAAGGUUUUAAAUUGUAUGCGGCGUCAUACAUACACAACUACGAAGUCUUUAUAGGAGUGGAUUCUACAGAGGCAUGGUGGGUCCAUUACCAGAUCCCUGCAUGUUCAGAAUAACGGAGGCGUAUGCUAAAUUUAGUGUUGAGAACAGGCCACUUGUGACCACAAUGAACAUGGGACGUGACAAACACCUUGUGGAAAGUGCCUUCAGGUUAGUGCAGAACGGCAGUGUUCUGUCAUAUCAGCAGCCUGCUUUGACAUCCCAGCACAUCACACUACACCAUGACACACCACCACCACCGCACUUGCCUCUGGAGGGGUACAAUGUCUUACCAUGUGUUUGUGUGCUCAGAAGAGGAACUACUACAUCUCAGCAGCAUGACUUUAACUAUAGAAAUGGCUCACACAAUUGAAGAGGCUACAUGUGAGCAAAGCUCUUGCUCUGAAUGGCAUCUGCUCCGCAGGCCCAGGGUGACCGCCUCUAGGUUUCGAGAGGUGUGUCAUGUCGGGCCAGAGCUCUGCAGAGUCACUUGCAGAGCGCAUCAUGAAGGGAACAAGGCAGACGGCCGACAUGAGAGGUGCUGAUUUGGAGCCUGUAGUAGCAGCUGAGUACAGGAGGACUACCUUGUGCAACGAAUACACAUGGAUCCACCAGUGCGAAGAUCAAUUAGAGAAAAAGCUGACCAUUUCUUUUUCUACGUAUACAUGCCAAGAUACCUGUCUUGAGAAAUGAAGUAUGAAAACAUGAGAAAAACCCAGGUUCUUCCAUGAAAGAUUGGAAUGACAAAAACGUUAUAAAAUAUUUUAUUACAGUUCAUUUUUCAUUCCUGUUUUUUCAGCCAAUAUGUUAUAAUAGUUCAAUAUGUUAUAUGUACAAUAUAUUAAAAUGUUCAAUUUUACAAAUCUAUACAAGUGAAUAUAUAAUACAUACAAAACAUCAAUGAAAUGUUAAGAGGGGACAACUGAAUCACAGAACUUUACAUUCAACAGUUUGCUUACAUUUAGAUUUACAGAAUAGUUAACAAAAUGAUCUGCCACUGGAAUAAACAAAAUCCUAAAUGAAAUUAUAAAAACCUGGUGUUGAACCAAUGAUUUACUUAACCCAUGCCUUAACUAAUGCCUUGUUUUGGUAGUUUGACCACUGUUAUGCCACUGUAAACAUUUGGCUAAUGUUUCCUGCAUGGGAAAGGGGGAUUACGCCAUUAAACCAUUUGUUUGUUUAAUUCUCCUAAUGACUCGUUCCACAUGUAUUUGGAGUCGUGCUAUUGAUUGGGUUUCAGUAACCUGGUAUGCAGGCAUCUGACUUUGCUUGAACAGAAAUGGUGGGCAGUAUAUUUUGCAGUUAACACAACCACUAAUGAGGAAGCCCUUGUCAACCAUCACUGCCAUUUCUUCCAAGUUGGCUAAACCCAGACUGUUUGAGGUUUUUCUGUUUUUGUUUCCCUGAUAUGUGGUUUUUAAGGUGUUUGGAAGGACAUACAGAAGAGGCUAAAAUGAUCACGAAACGUCUGCAAAAUGAAUGUUGACAGUUUAAUUAAAUUGUUCAAUAAAAAGAAAAUUCAUACUAAAUGUAAUCAUAAGGGAACAAUUGGUUGAUUUUGUAUGUGUUGAUUCAUGGAGAGGGCAGUUCAAUGUAGACUCACUGAAAUGACAUGAAUUAGUAUAUAUGAAUGUUGAUUGUUGACAAUACACCAUCAUAUUCCAAACAUGAAUAGCCUUAAAUAAGAAAUAUUCCAAGGAUUAAUUUAGCAUUGAUGUUGUACCUUUUUAUCAAAAGCCAGUGCAAUCCUUCUUUGUCCAGACUGACGUAGUCUUUUCAUUCUCGUCUGUCAGUGAACGUAAACACAGGGUCAGUUGAUAUUUAGUCAAUGUCACUGGCAUCCGCUAGGAUAAUAAAAAUAUGGGGUAGGCUACCUCAUUUUAACAUGCAUUUCAACCCUGUACAUAAACUGAAUUGAAAGAAAAGCAUUUAAACUUUCGUUGAAAGUUGAUCAGUCUCACAUUGGAUGCAGGGCUCCAGAAAAGCCUUUUUCACCACCGUCACAAAACUAUUUUAACCGCCCCGAAGUAAAUGAAAACUGUCCCAAAAUCAAAAUGUUGUUUCUAUACUUUGGUAUUAUCAUCUAUACUUAGUUAUUAGCGGCAUAACAAAAACACUAUUCAAAUGAGUAAAUCAUUAUUUUAUUUUAUUUAGCUCCAUUCAACGAAGUUUAAAACAAAACUGAAUGUUACCUGUAAACAGUAAAAAAAAUGAAUAGCACUUUUUCCAUUCGGAAUAUUUUUUAUUUAUUUGCGUUUUGCUUCAUAGCCAUUUCUUCCUUGUUUCUGUAGAAAAUGGAUUUAAUUGGUCAAAGGGCUCCCAGGUGGAAAGGGUUCACAAUAAUCAUUAUGGCUUGCUAUUACUGCUAGCCCUAGAGAAAGAAAGUCACACUAAAAGAUACAGGAUUAAUGAUUGAUAAAAAGAAAAUCAGAUUAUAUCUGCAACUGCUGUUGCUUAUUGUUUGAUAUCUAGUUUUUGUAAAGUACUUCAAAAUCAAUAACAUCUACAUACGCUGAUGUAAAGUGUCUGUAACUCCAAAAUAAAGUACUUUCACCUCCAAACGGUACUUGUUCAAUCUGUAUUUACAUUUACAUUAAGGGUAAGGACACAAAUACACACCUAAAUGAUCAUAUUUUUGGGAUAAUUGUAUGUAUGCAUGUUUGUACUCAAGAUAAGAUAACCACAAUAAAAAGUUGUCCAAAAGAAACAUUCAGUGAUUGUGUAAACAAACAUAUUCUAAAAAGCCUUGUGUCAACACAAUCUAACAAUACUAUGUCAUAGCCCCGCUGUUCCUGUGUAACAGGACCUGUAUUGAACAUACAUACUUCCACUAACUAACGAUUAUCCUAAAAAUAAAUCAUAACAUUGUAAUAUCCUACAGGUGAAAGGUGAUCCCACGGGUUCCCGUUUCGAGACAACAGCGAUUAGUGCAUCCGUAGGCUGCACAAAAGUCUGGCAUGUUCACUUCAAUAAAGUCAGCAAUUUCCUGUAGAAAUCAUAAUGUAAGAUGUUUUUAACAAACCAACCCGAUUGAAAAUCAUGUGCAACUUAGUUAUUGAAAAGAAAGACCAAUUCUGCCUCUCCCAUCGAUGUAAAAUUACUUGGUAGCUAGUAGCCUAGCCGUGAUACACAACUAAGCAGCACGAUUAUGUCGUUUGUCGAAGAGAAAAGCUGCAAUUUCAACAUGGUCAAUCAUCCAGAAUUAUAACCACGUUAAUAACGUUUGUAAGAAACCAAACUGUUUGUAAAUCCGUCAAGAUUUCAGCGAGAUAAGAGUAUUAGCGUUUGUGCAGAUCACUGACCUUACUUCAGGUUCCACAGAUCCCGCCAGAAAGCUUGCCUGUGGUAAGAUGGCCGACCUGUUCGGAGUAUUUCUUCUCCUGUUUUUGAAAACGCAUUUUCUUAUGGGUAUUCAUGGCGAAAUAUUACCUCAGGAGCUGUAGCGAGCUAGUUCGAAAUAAGGAAAUAGACCGGAAAUGGCCGAGCCAUAUUAUUUGGAGUCGGAAGUACGUCACAACGCUUAGUGCAAGUAGCGAAUUAAACCAUCAUCCUGAUUCGGCUUGGGGGUAACUACUGGUACCGAGCAGGUGUGGGUUUAGUAAAACUAGGCAGGCGGAACUCAUAAAUUGAUUUUAAUAAAGCAAAUGUGUCUCAGACAUGACAGCCUGCAGUCUUACUGAACUCUUUUUCUACUUCCAGUCACUGUCCAGACAUGCUGGACGGCAGUCUGAGCAGCGUGGGCUCCUCCACAGGCUCCCCGGGCAAGAUGGAGGGAGUGUCGCCCUCCUCGUCCAGCAACUCGCCCUUCGCUUCCCUCCAGGAUUUGUCGCCAAAGUGAGCAUGGGAUUUGAAGAGACAGUUUAUAAAUACAUAUAUUCAAAAACACUGGUGCCAAAAAGCAUCUCUCCAGGGAACAAGCUUCCUUCUCAGACCCUCCAUCUCACCAUCGCUUAGGUUUGGUGGAAUUUUGGUGGAAUUUUCGCCCAUGUUUGUUUCUGAGCGGCUGUUCUCAUGGCUACAGUUCGGAGGAUAUGUUUGAUUUACGGAAGAGAAAAGCCAUGGAUGAGUUCUUUUCAGAGUGAAACUAAGAAAAUAUCUGCAGAAACUGAAGCACCAGCUGCUAGUAGAGGAUAUGUAUGGUGCUCAGCUUCAUAGUGAGUGAUGUGGCUAAUGCUCGAGCACUGGACAUAAAGAAAAUGACUAUUUGGAUGUGUUCCCCUUUUUUUUGUGCUGGAAAAAUUGUCACCAGGCCCCUUUUUUUUGUAUGUACAGUCCAUUUUGUAAGAAAAUAUUUAAGUUAUUGUUUUCCUGCUUUUGUUUGUAAUUAUGUACAUAUUAACCUCGUCAGAUGUAGUUUUAAGUUUGGCUGUGAGGUGAAUGUGGGCACAGGUCUUCAGCAAAGAGUCCUCUUUUGUAGAGGAACAUGAACUACUCCCUGGGGUACACUUCUGGAGACUUCCUCACUGUUGUACUGCGUCCUCGUGUACAACACUAAGGGUUCCUGUGUUUUUGUCAGGAUGUCUGUGUAUAUAAGAGUGUAGGGAUGAUCUACCUGGGGAAAUGUUGUUAUUUAUGGAAAAAAAAGUUUAUAAUGGUGGAAGGUUUGUAUUCCCAUCUAAAUUAAACAUCCCACCGUCUCAUUGUGAGUAGAGACUGCCGUUCCUCCUGUGGUUAUAUUUGUGAAAAUCACUUUGUGUGCCGAAUGCUCCAUCCUGUCAGCCUCUCAGCGGGACAAGUCAAACUUUCUUAUAAGAAAAAUAUCCAAGAAAACAGUAUACUGUACUGUGAUUUUUGCACCUAAUACUACUUUCCAGUGUCCAUAUCCCGUGUGUGUGUGUGUGUGUGUGUGUGUGUGUGUGUACGUGUACACAAAAGGAAGUGAUUGUAAAUCACAUUAUGGAAGUGUGCCCCUUUUUUCUUUAUUUUUAUUUAAAGAAAAGUUAUUUUUUUUCCUUCUUUGUACGAAGAUGAAAACGCAGUCAGCUUGCCCUGCUGUCAAGAUGAUUUGUUUUCUCAUCUUAUGAAGUGUUAAGGGCAUGACUCUGAUACUGUAUGACUGCAAUGGAAAGGCUGUUAUCUGCCAAGCUGGCUGACAACUCGCCUAUGCUUGUCUUUUGUGAUUGCAAUCGUAGUGAACAUCAGGAAUAAAUAAAUUAUUUCUUUA